rnacentral:ncRNA from 1 species
GAGAGCCGUAUACUCUGAGAGGAGUACGUACGGUUCGGGGGGGAGUUUCUAGAAACCUACUGCAGAAAUGUAGCAAGGCGCUGGAUUCUUACCCUAC